AGCAGCCGCGGUAAUUCCAGCUCCAAUAGCGUAUAUUAAAGUUGCUGCAGUUAAAAAGCUCGUAGUUGAAUUUCGGGACUAAUAUGUCGGUCGUGCCUCGGUACGUACUGGUAUUUUUGGUUUCUCCCUUCUGACGAACCUUGAUGUCAUUAAUUUGGUGUCUUGGGAAAUCAGGACUGUUACUUUGAAAAAAUUAGAGUGUUUAAAGCAGGCUCACGCUUGAAUACAUUAGCAUGGAAUAAUGAAAUAGGACGUUUGAUUCUAUUUUGUUGGUUUCUAGGAUCGACGUAAUGAUUAAUAGGGAUAGUUGGGGGCAUUAGUAUUCAAUUGUCAGAGGUGAAAUUCUUGGAUUUAUUGAAGACUAACUACUGCGAAAGCAUUUGCCAAGGAUGUUUUCAUUAAUCAAGAACGAAAGUUAGGGGAUCGAAGGCGAUCAGAUACCGUCGUAGUCUUAACCAUAAACUAUGUCGACUAGGGAUCGGAUGAUGUAAUUUUUAAUGACUCAUUCGGCACCUUACGG
rnacentral:rRNA from 1 species